rnacentral:lncRNA from 1 species
GCAAAGGAGCAAGGGCCUCUUCGUGGUCCAAAGCCUUCUCAAUGAAGGACGGCAUCCCUGUGGCUCCACGCUCGGCACACACCUGAGGGGGAAGUGUGGUCCCUUGAGAAGCUGUUUGCAGCACUGGUCUUUCCGUGGUCGGUGAGGAUGCUCUGUAAAACCAGCAAACCCACCACGGUUCCCUGUCUCAAGGCACACUUCCUGGGCAAAGGAAGCACGUGGCCUCACCAACAGACACAGAAGUGGGAAAGAGAGAAGAUCCCGCUUGUGGGCUGGGAGAUGCUUGGAGAUGUCCUUGUUCCUGAAAACAGAAGAAAUAAAGGAAAACCUGUUUUAAA